CCCGUUAAAGGCCCUGCUUAUUCCAUGCCUCCAUAUGGUUGUUGAGCUUCCUGCUGUCUUCCCCUUCUUCACCAACCAUUGAUUUUCUUUUCUUUUUUUCUCUCUCCCUGGAGACAACUCCUCGUGCCUUUCACAAAGCACAAGAAAGAGGGAGGGAGGGAGGUAAAGUAAGCUGCCAGGGGCAGAUUCUAAACUCUGGGUGUCCUUUUAAAUUCGCCGCUAGAACUUAUCACGUUCAUUCACACGGCAGUGCCACCGUCCCAACGUGUGUGAUCCGAGUCUUUGUUGUGCAAAGUGGAAUGCUGCUGACACCACGUACAGGUUCACACGCCUUUAAGACCGUGAGGACACCCAUUGGUCACCGGCGUGAGAUCUGAAGACGGGUACUUUUUGGUUUUAUAGUGUUGCUUGCUUACACCGGGGUCCUUUUAAUUUCGCCGCUAGUGCUUAUCACAUUCAUUCACACGGCAUGCCAUCAUUCUGACGGGUAACCACCCUGAGAUUUAAGGUUUUGUUUCGUCCAAUGGGGUGCUUAGCCUGGCAGCAAUUAGCUUAGUCAAGCCUCUACAGCGUUAAUUAUUCAUGCCCGCCAUCAUCCACUGAGGAGCAAUAAUGUUGAUGAGGCACAUAGUGGAAGACAGAAAGAGAGUGAGUAGUCAAGGGAGAGUGAGUAAACGAAGGAUGCUGCUGGAUUCUCUUUGAAGAUCACGAUGCCACUGGCCAGCCACCUGCACGAGAUAUGAAGCCGAGUAUUGUUUUCAUAGUGUUGCUCCACUGGAUGCUUUACUGGCAGCGAUUAGUUAAAUAAGUACAGAGAGAAACAGCUUGUACAUUAUUUUGCAGCUAAGUAAUACUGCUCUGCUAAGACGCAUAUAGCAUCUAUGGCUAGAAUACUUGGAACAGAGGAAAAACUUUCCUUCACAAUACCGUUAAUGGCCCUGCUUAUUCCAUGCCUCCAUAUGGUUGUUGAACGUCCUGUUGUCUUCCCCAUCUUCACCAACCAUUUGGUUUUAUUUUCUUUUUUUCUCUCUCUCCCUGGCGACAACUUUAUGUAGAUACACCUUUAUCUAGGUGCGUUUUAGUGUGUAGAUCAGGACAGGACCUGCACACUAAUAAUUGAUGCCUUUUAAAUUCAGAAGUACAACGUACAUCCUCGCUUUUUAUUGACGACAUUUCUUUAGCAACUUACAAAUCUUAAGAAAAUUUAAUGAAAAAUAUCCAUGCAUGCUAGAUCCACUUGAUAUCUUCGAAGCACUUAAUAAGGCCCCAAUGAAAACACUACAAUGAUCGACAACUAUUGUGA
rnacentral:lncRNA from 1 species